UUAUAAGAGACAGCAGUCGCCGCGGGAAUACAGAGGGUGCGAGCGUUAAUCGGAUUUACUGGGCGUAAAGCGUGCGUAGGCGGCUUCUUAAGUCGGAUGUGAAAUCCCUGAGCUUAACUUAGGAAUUGCAUUCGAUACUGGGAAGCUAGAGUAUGGGAGAGGAUGGUAGAAUUCCAGGUGUAGCGGUGAAAUGCGUAGAGAUCUGGAGGAAUACCGAUGGCGAAGGCAGCCAUCUGGCCUAAUACUGACGCUGAGGUACGAAAGCAUGGGGAGCAAACAGGAUUAGAUACCCGAGUAGUCCCUGUCUCUUAUAC
rnacentral:rRNA from 1 species